rnacentral:rRNA from 1 species
GCCAGCGAGGACAGCUGGUCGAAGGUGGGUACAUCGCUUCCCGUCACGAGCGUGCAGGCCCUGGUGGCGUCCGCCGGCGAGCUGACGGUCGACAAGAUCGGACGGUAUGUCCAGCCGGACAUCGACGCGCACGCCGUUCUCCCCGAGCUGUCCAACGAAGUUCCGGUGAUCGACCUAAGCAAGCUCUUGAGGGCCGAGUCAGCUGAAGCUGAGGCUGCCAAGCUCAGAUUUGCCUGCGCGGAGUGGGGCUUCUUUCAGGUUGUAAAUCAUGGAAUACCGGAUGAAGCCAUAAUGGGUAUAAAGGAGGACAUUCAAAAGUUCUUUCAACUCCCCCUCGAAGUUCAGAAUGCAUAUGCGCAGGACCCAGGGGGUCUUCAAGGGUAUGGACAAGUGUUUGUUGUCUCUGAUGAUCAAAAGCUAGAAUGGGCUGAUAGGUUUGCCCUCUUCACCCAACCACCCCAAGCUCGCGAUAUGAGUUACUGGCCAAGUCAACCUCAUACUUUCAGAUUAUGA